AUUGCCUCAAAUUAUGUCAAUUAGCCUAUCAGAAGCUUCUAAAGCCAUGACAUAAUUUUCUGGAAUUUUCCAAGCUGUUUAAAUACACAUUCAACUUAGUUUAUGUAAACUUCUGACCCACUGAAAUUGUGAUACAGUUAAUCAUAAGUGAAAUAAUCUGUCGGUACACUUUUUGGGGAAAAAUAACUUGUUUCAUGAACAAAGUAGAUGUCCUAAACGACUUGCCAAAACUAUAGUUUGUUAACAAGAAAUGUGUGGAGUGGUUGAAAAAUGAGUUUUAAUGACUCCAACCUAAGUGUAUGUAAACUUGCGACUUCAACUGUAUGUCCAGUCCUUUCUAGUGUGGCGGCAAAUGAAUUGAACAGGAGAAGAGGAUGAGGUUGGUGGUGGAGGAAGAGCAGUGGGGGUGGUGGGUAGAACAGCUGCAGUGACGUUGAUUGGUUGAUCUGGCUCAUCACUUGUCGACUAAAAGAAAGAAAGAUUUAGACAUUUGUUGGACAUUGCCAUAGUUCAACAGCUGAAAAGCCUUCAUUAACAUACUCCCAGAGAUAGAAAGACAUCCAGUAUUCACUGAAUGAAGGAGCCUAUUUACAAUUUCAUUCAUCAAUUAAAUAAAUGAUACUAUAGUACAUUCAAUGACGUUAUUAUUGUGGACUAUAGGCUACUCCUGUAUCUACCUUCUACAAUACCCUUAUCAUUGAAUGAAGCAGCAUACCUAUCCCCAUUUAUAAUGGUAGAUGUGAUGAUGGUAGGUGAUGGUAGGUGUUGUAGGUGGUGUGGUAGGGAUGGUAGGUAUGAUGAUGGUAGGUGUGGUGAUGGUAGGGAAGGUAGGUGUGGUGAUGGUAGGGAUGGUAGGUAUGAUGAUGGUAGGUGUGAUGGUAGGGAAGGUAGGUGUGGUGAUGGUAGGGAUGGUGAUUGUAAGUGUAGUGAUUGUAGGUGUGGUGAUCGUAGGGAUGGUAGGUGUAAUGAUGGUAGGUUUGGUGAUGGUAAGUGUAGUGAUUGUAGGUGUGGUGAUGGUAGGUGUGGUUAUGGUAGAUGUGAUAAUGUUAGGUGAUGGAAGGUGUGGUGAUGGCAGGUGUAUAGAUGGUAGGUGUGGUGAAGUAAUUAUGGUAUGGUAUUUGUGGUGAUGGUAGGUGUGAUAGGUGUGGUGGUUGUAGGUAUUGUAAGUGUGGUGAUUGUAGGUGUGACAGGUGUGGUGAUGGUAGGUGUGUGGAUGGUAGGUAUGGUGGGUGGGGUGAUGGUAGGUGUAAUGAUGGUAAGGAUGGUAGGUGUGGUGAAGGUAGGUAUGGUAGGUGAGAUAGUAGGUGUAAUGAUGGUAGGUGUGGUGAUGGUAGGUGUGAUGUAAAAAUCUAAUCAAAUCCAAUUUAUUUGUCACAUACACAUGGUUAGCAGAUGUUAAUGCGAGUGUAGCGAAAUGCUUGUGCUUCUAGUUCCGACAAUGCAGUACUAACCAACAAGUAAUCUAGCUAACAAUUCCAAAACUACUACCUUAUAGACACAAGUGUAAGGGGAUAAAGAAUAUGGACAUAAAGAUAUAUGAAUGAGUGAUGGUACAGAGCGGCAUAAGCAAGAUACAGUAGAUGGUAUUGAGUGCAGUAUAUACAUAUGAGAUGAGUAUGUAAACAAAGUGGCAUAGUUAAAGUGGCUAGUGAUACAUGUAUUACAUAAAGAUGCAGUAGAUUAUAUAGAGUACAGUAUAUACACAUACAUAUGAGAUGAAUAGUGUAGGGUAUGUAAACAUUAUAUUAGGUAGCAUUGUUUAAAGUGGCUAGUGAUAUAUUUUACAUAAUUUCCCAUUAUUAAAGUGGCUGGAGUUGAGUCAGUGUGUUGGCAGCAGCCACUCAAUGUUAGUGGUGGCUGUUUAACAGUCUGAUGGCCUUGAGAUAGAAGCUGUUUUUCAGUCUCUCGGUCCCAGCUUUGAUGCACUUGUACUGACCUCGCCUUCUGGAUGAUAGCGGGGUGAAUAGGCAGUGGCUCGGGUGGUUGUUGUCCUUGAUGAUCUUUAUGGCCUUCCUGUGACAUCGGGUGGUGUAGGUGUCCUGGAGGGCAGGUAGUUUGCCCCCGGUGAUGCGUUGUGCAGACCUCACUACCCUCUGGAGAGCCUUACGGUUGUGGGCGGAGCAGUUGCCGUACCAGGCGGUGAUACAGCCCGACAGGAUGCUCUCGAUUGUGCAUCUGUAGAAGUUUGUGAGUGCUUUUGGUGACAAGCCGAAUUUCUUCAGCCUCCUGAGGUUGAAGAGGCGCUGCUGCGCCUUCAUCACGAUGCUGUCUGUGUGGGUGGACCAAUUCAGUUUGUCUGUGAUGUGUACGCCAAGGAACUUAAAACUUACUACCCUCUCCACUACUGUUCCAUCGAUGUGGAUACGGGGGUGUUCCCUCUGCUGUUUCCUGAAGUCCACAAUCAUCUCCUUAGUUUUGUUGACGUUGAGUGUGAGGUUAUUUUCCUGACACCACACUCCGAGGGCACUCACCUCCUCCCUGUAGGCCGUCUCGUCGUUGUUGGUAAUCAAGCCUACCACUGUUGUGUCGUCCGCAAACUUGAUGAUUGAGUUGGAGGCGUGCGUGGCCACGCAGUCGUGGGUGAACAGGGAGUACAGGAGAGGGCUCAGAACGCACCCUUGUGGGGCCCCAGUGUUGAGGAUCAGCGGGGUGGAGAUGUUGUUGCCUACCCUCACCACCUGGGGGCGGCCCGUCAGGAAGUCCAGUACCCAGUUGCACAGGGCGGGGUCGAGACCCAGGGUUUGGAGGGCACUAUGGUGUUAAAUGCCGAGCUGUAGUCGAUGAACAGCAUUCUCACAUAGGUAUUCCUCUUGUCCAGAUGGGUUAGGGAAGUGUGCAGUGUGGUUGAGAUUGCAUCAUCUAUGGACCUAUUUGGGCGGUAAGCAAAUUGGAGUGGGUCUAGGGUGUCAGGUAGGGUGGAGGUGAUAUGGUCCUUGACUAGUCUCUCAAAGCACUUCAUGAUGACGGAAGUGAGUGCUACGGGGCGGUAGUCGUUUAGCUCAGUUACCUUAGCUUUCUUGGGAACAGGAACAAUGGUGGCCCUCUUGAAGCAUGUGGGAACAACAGACUGGGAUAGGGAUUGAUUGAAUAUGUCCGUAAACACAUCAGCCAGCUGGUCUGCGCAUGCUCUGAGGGUGCGGCUGGGGAUGCCGUCUGGGCCUGCAGCCUUGCGAGGGUUGACACGUUUAAAUGUUUUCCUCACGUCGGCUGCAGUGAAGGAGAGUCCGCAUGUUUUAGUUGCGGGCCGUGUCAGUGGCACUGUAUUGUCGUCAAAGCGGGCAAAAAAGUUAUUUAGUCUGCCUGGGAGCAAGACAUCCUGGUCCGUGACGGGGCUGGUUUUCUUUUUGUAAUCCGUGAUUGACUGUAGACCCUGCCACUUACCUCUUGUGUCUGAGCCGUUGAAUUGAGAUUCUACCUUGUCUCUAUACUGACGCUUAGCUUGUUUGAUUGCCUUGCAGAGGGAAUAGUUACACUGUUUGUAUUCGGUCAUGUUUCCGGUCACCUUGCCCUGAUUAAAAGCAGUGGUUCGCGCUUUCAGUUUCACGCGAAUGCUGCCAUCAAUCCACGGUUUCUGGUUUGGGAAUGUUUUAAUCGUUGCUAUGGGAACGACAUCUUCAACGCACGUUCUAAUGAACUCGCUCACCGAAUCAGCGUAUUCGUCAAUGUUGUUGUCUGACGCAAUACGAAACAUAUCCCAGUCCACGUGAUGGAAGCAGUCUUGGAGUGUGGAAUCAGAUUGGUCGGACCAGCGUUGAACAGACCUCAGCGCGGGAGCUUCUUGUUUUAGUUUCUGUCUGUAGGC
rnacentral:lncRNA from 13 species